rnacentral:lncRNA from 1 species
UUGAAUAUGAUAUUUGAGUUGAUGUGUCGUUACUGAAUAAGUGAUAUGAUUAGGGUGAUUAAUGUGUUAUUUACUUAACAAUACAUGAGAUUUUAUAAUGCUUGUUAUAUCGAUUGAGGAACUCACCCUUACAACUUUAUUUUCAGGUAACGAGCAGUGAUUGAGUAGAAGCUAGUCCUUGGAGUCUAGUAUAGUUCCUUAGGGGGUCGUGCUCUGAUAGAUGUAACAUCGG